AUGGUUUUAGGUCUAACGUAUAAGUCUUUAAUCCAUCUUGAAUUAAUUUUUGUAUAAGGCAUAAGGAAGGGAUCCAGUUUCAGCUUUCUACAUAUGGCUAGCCAGUUUUCGCAGCACCAUUUAUUAAAUAGGGAAUCCUUUCCCCAUUUCUUGUUUUUGUCAGGUUUGUCAAAGAUCAGAUAGUUGUAGAUAUGCAGCCUUAUUUCUGAGGGCUCUGUUCUGUUCCAUUGAUCUAGCAUUCUUGUACACCAAUAACAGACAAACAGAGAGCCAAAUAAUGAGUGAACUCCCAUUCACAAUUGCUUCAAAGAGAAUAAAAUACCUAGGAAUCCAACUUACAAGAGACGCAAAGGACCUCUUCAAGGAGAACUACAAACCACUGCUCAAUGAAAUAAAAGAGGUUACAAACAAAUGGAAGAACGUUCCAUGCUCAUAGGUAGGAAGAAUCAAUAUCAUGAAAAUGGCCAUACUGCCCAAGGUAAUUUAUAAAUUCAAUGCCAUCUUCAUCAGUGAAUUCUAUGUUUCAAAUUGUCGUUGUGUACAGUCUCCCUUUCUGUGGCUCCAAUGUCAUUGACCACAUUGUCUGUGACAUGUACCCAUUACUGGAACUGGCAUGUGCUGACACCUACUUUAUAGGGCUCACUGUGAUUGCCAAUGGUGGAGCAAUCUGUGUGGUCAUCUUCUGCCUUCUACUAACCUCCUAUGGAGUCAUCCUAAACUUCCUUAAAACUUAUAGUCAAGAAGGGAGGCAUAGAACCCUGUCUACCUGCAGCUCCCACAUUACUGUGGUUGUCCUCUUUUUUGUUCCCUGUAUUUUCAUGUAUGUUAGACCUGUUUCAAACUUCCCUAUUGAUAAAUUCAUUACUGAGUUUUAUACAGUUAUCACCCCCAAGUUGAAUCCAUUAAUCCAACCACUGAGAAAUUGAGAAAUGAGAAUUACUAUGAAGAAACUCUGGUGU
rnacentral:lncRNA from 1 species